UUCUUCAGCUGGAAGAUGGAAUUCCUAUUGAUUGUUGUUUUUAAAAUCUAGCCAGUCCAUGCUGCAGAUGUACUUAAAGAUCAGUGAUGUUGAAAAGCACUGUAAUCUGGGAUGUGGUUGUUUGGAUGCACAGAAUGACACUGACAGCACCAAGAGCUGCUCAGGGCUCCUGCAGUCGUGCACAGGUCCAUAUUUCCCAUGGUGAGCCAAGGUGUCCCCAGCUGUUGUAUCUAGAACCUCUGAGAAAAAGAGCAGGAGUACAUCUCAAAGGAAAGGCAAAGGUGACUUGGCACCUCCGUGUGUUGCUGGCUGAAAUGGAGACAGAGGAAACCUUGGCCCACCCAAUCAGGAGACUGCAAGGAAACCCAGCCUCAAGAGUGUGGACCGGUUGUUCCUAUGUCCUUUCCACAAAGAGGAACAGUAAUCAGAAGGUGUUUGAGGGAUGAGUUGUCUCCCUCCCUUUCAGAGAGGUGGGAAACACAUGCAUCUGCCCACAAAGAUAAAGAGCAGAGACUACUUAACAAAGGAAAUGCCCUGAUGCACUAGGGGAAGGAAAGAAAAAAAGUGAAGCUGCAAACUUUGUUCCUCAGUACGAGAUGACCCAUCUCAGGAAGGCGGACUUGGUGCUGCUAAUUCUCUCAAUUUCCUCCAGAAAUGGGAAAAUUUAUCUAUAUUAGGAAAUGUGUUCUUCCUUUCUUCAACCAUACUGUCCUGAGAACGUGCUCCAGAUCUGCACCAUGGAACAUAUGGGAAGGCAAAGUCCUGAGACAAAACAAAAGGAGAAUGUAAGCUCGUUAACAAACGCAGCAAGCAAUCCCAUAGGCACGCCAGGUAGUGCCCCUGGGCUGGCACGGUGCCCAUCUGUGCCAUCUGCUGAGGAUCAAACCUUCCUCUGCUUCCCAUCACGUAGAACCUGCAGCAGCCAGGCAUUGCUUUCCUGCUGAAAUCGCUGCGGCACGCCGCCAGCCCAGAUCCAGUAGUUUAGCUGAUUUUGUACUGAAGCAGCUCAGAUGGACCAAAACCAAAGUUUUCAAGGCAGACUUGCCAAAUUUUUCAAUGGUGAUCUGGAAGUCAAAUACCCAGGUGUUUUGAAGAGUGAAAAUGCUGGAAACGGAGUAUCUCACUAGCAGGAUGGCAGGAUCAGAAUCCCCUUGACUUUGCUGUGGCAGCCACUGCUUGGGCUGGACACCCAGGUGAGGAAACAGCCCCAGGAAAGGGUACUCAGAGUAGUUCCUGCAGCUGAAGAAAGAGCCUACACCAACCCCAGGACUUGCCUGUGAGUCACCACACUGCUUUGGAGAAGAUUUUUAAGGAGUUGUGGGACUUCAGGCUCGAAGGAUUGCAUCAUGGUGAAAUCAGGAAAAACUGCUCAUCAGACAACCAGCAUUUGCAGUUUCCAUCUUCCCCAAGCUGGGCUUUGGGCUGGAGGAGUAGCUGCAGGCUGCUGAUCUCCUAAGAAGCACAGGAUUUGGGGUCUCUCUGUGCCGCAGUACCAAGAGUUCGUUUAUAUCUUUCUGAACAGCCUUGAGUCUGUUGAUGUCUCCUAAGAUGCACGAGGUUUCCCACAGCUAACUGGCUAUAUGAAAGCAUACCAGGCAGAAUUAGAAAUCAUCACCUGCCAUACUCAGCUAUACAGAAGAUACCGAGCCUUACUCUGAUCACCUCCUACUUCUGUGCUUGGCUGCUGCCAGGAUUUUUGCCAGUGAUGCCUUUGCCAAGGGAGCCAACAAUGUGUAACACCACACCAUUUGCUAGCACUCCCUACUCCCAAAGAAUACAUUAGGUGUGGAAUCAGAGGAGUGUUUUUUUACAAGGAUAUCUUUUUACAUACCUGUGUGGUACUGUCUUUAGCCAGUAGCUCUUCAAGUGGCAACGUGAAGUCAUUUGAUUCACUUGCUUGACCAGUUUCUAAUUGGAUAUAAUGAAGCAAUGCGAGAUGGCUGUACACACUCCCUCCAGCACUGCUCAAUUAUUCCUCGCAUCUCUGUGAUGAGAUCAGCAGGACAAUUUCAUACACGCCAGGCUCUCCAUGCAGCUGACAGUCCCACCCAGCUAAUGAGGCUUUACUGCUGUUCCAGCACCAUCACAUUUUUAUUAAUUUGUCCUUAGACUUACACUUGAUAUUCCCCUCUGCAAGUACCACACAAGCAUAUCAGUGUCUUAAUGCAAAACAAAUACAUGAUCUGGUGGUGUGCAUUACACAUGUAUACCUUUUGCUAAAAAUCAGCUGUGCAUUAAAUGGAUGGUAUUUCUAUUUAAAACAGCCAGCAUGGUCUGAACAGAUACACUUGAGCUGGUUGCCUAGGCAACAACAUUCCUCAAAUUAGAGGGGUCUGUAACAGAAGAUGUUUAUCUAGCUUUAAUUUUGGGGCUUGGUUUCUAAAAAUCUUAAUUCACUCCUUUCAAAGUAUUUUAUCUAGUGAUAAUGCUACAUUUCAAGCAACAACUAGGACAGAUUCAUCUACUGUAUCUCUGCUGCAAAUUAUAGGUAUAAAGUACAUAAAAUAGAGACAAAGGUUAAAGGGUAACUUAUUUCACAGUUUGGCAAUUGUUUAGAUGGUUGAGCCUUGCCUCUUGGCUGCUAGGUUCAUUGUAUAUUUGUUUACUGACUUCAUUCAAAUAAAGCAUCAAAAAUAAUUUUUGUCUAUUUGACUGCAAUUGGACUAUCAGAUAUCAAAAUUCUUGGCCUUGUUUUUAUGAAGUUCUGUAUCAUAAUUUUCUGUAAUGUUUUCUCCAAGUCUCCCUGCAGCAUGCUUCUCUCGCCACAAAACUCAGCACCAUGGAUAGUUCUCUCUAAUCCUGGAAAUGCUGUUGUACCUACUACCGAGGAAAUGACAGUGCUCUACAUGAUGGGCAGGCCAAUGAACACACCUUGAAAACAGAGGCUCCCCUCAGAGGAAUGGAGGGACACACAUGUGCAUUGUUUGCACCUCAUGGUACCGAGAGGAAAGGUUUUAACCCAAGACUUAAAUUCCUGUGCCAUAUUUCAGCCUCAGGAAACAGAUGCAGCAGUUAAACCACAGUCACAGACAAGGCUGACUUCAUGACCACCCCCUGCAUAGCAUUGUGUGGUGGACAACAGGUGUAUGAGGAUGGGGUGAUCACCUUCCUGGUGGAAUGCAGAAGUGAAAUACUGCAGGAGAGGAGUGUGCCCUUCUGAAAACUUGUGAACAAAUAAUGUCUCCAGAACAUGUCUGAUGUAGUGUAAACAGUGACAGAAGCAGGCCAAGCUGCAAGAGAAAAAAAAGAAAAGGAAAUUAAGGCACAGCAGAAACAGCCUGUGUUGAACAGAUUGGAUAAAUUACCCUACUGUGACAAAAACAAAGAAAUAAUUUCAUCUCACCGUUGUGACCCCUGCUACGCACUGAGAGCUGAGAGGAGGGACAGGGUCAUGCAGAUAACAUGAGCCACCCUCAGCUUUAAGCACUUUACAAAUAUGCAAAGGCAAAGCAGACUGAGAGACCGCCCUUAGUUUGUAUAAAGCAAGACAGAUUUCUGCUCUUAUUUGGAGCAGAGUCCAUGGUGUGGAAGAGGUGUGGAAAAUCUUCAGGGUCAGAAAAAUUCAGAAUAAAGAUUAAAACACAGGUUUGGUAUCAUCCCAGCAGCAUGCAGCAUGGAAGGAUUCCUAAAACCUGGCUCUUUGCCUAAUGCUGUUCUGUACUACUUUUCUUUUAUUGACAUUAUAGGAAAGCUCAAGAUAAGAAACAGAUUUGUCUUUCUUUUGAUCAAAACCUAAUUCUAAAUGUAUGUAGGUAAACUAACAACUGUGUAACUAUCCCUCAAUAAAGCAAU